UACGUAGGGUGCGAGCGUUAAUCGGAAUUACUGGGCGUAAAGCGUGCGUAGGCGGUUCGUUAUGUCUGCUGUGAAAGCCCCCGGGCUUAACCUGGGAAUGGCAGUGGAAACUGGUGGGCUUGAGUGUGGCAGAGGGGGGUGGAAUUCCGCGUGUAGCAGUGAAAUGCGUAGAGAUGCGGAGGAACACCGAUGGCGAAGGCAGCCCCCCUGGGCUGACACUGACGCUGAGGCACGAAAGCGUGGGGAGCAAACAGG
rnacentral:rRNA from 1 species